CUUCGCAGGAGACAGAGGCGCUGCGUUUCCUCGUCGAGAUGUUAGUGUUUUGAUGUCAUCUAUCGCUUCCUCUGUACUCUUUUGCAAUUGUUGCUUUGUGGAGAUGAUAGAUCUGGAUCUGUGACAUUGUUCUUGUUCAAUAUAAUUGUUAUGUGACCAGUAAGAACUAAAAUCAAAUCGAGUAGUAGAACUGACCUUUGAAUGAUAGAUCUGGGAAAUUUUUUGGCUAAGAUUCGCCAGUUCGUUUUAGUCUGGAAUUAUAAACAGAGCUCUCCGUUUUAGUCUGCAAUUAGCUCGUUCACUAGUUCGAAGACGAUAGAGUAACAAUGACGAUGAAAUUGAAGAAACGACAUAAACGUGAGGUUUUGUCUGCAACAGAGAAAAUAAUAAAGAUAAUCAAUUUAUCCAAACGAUUCACUAAGGGCAA
rnacentral:lncRNA from 1 species